rnacentral:rRNA from 1 species
CUGCCUACGGGACGCAGCAGUGGGGAAUAUUGGGCAAUGGGCGCAAGCCUGACCCAGCAACGCCGCGUGAAGGAAGAAGGCCCUCGGGUUAUAAACUUCUUUUAUCAGGGACGAAACAAAUGACGGUACCUGAUGAAUAAGCCACGGCUAACUACGUGCCAGCAGCCGCGGUAAUACGUAGGUGGCAAGCGUUAUCCGGAUUUACUGGGUGUAAAGGGCGUGUAGGCGGGUCUGCAAGUCAGAUGUGAAAUCUCAUG